UAUCAGUCAUGCAUAGCAUAUCAAUAAGCGGAGGAAAAGAAACUAACAAGGAUUCCCUUAGUAACGGCGAGUGAAGCGGGAAGAGCUCAAAUUUGAAAUCUUCAAGGUUCUACCUUGACGAAUUGUAGUUUAUAGAAGUGUUUUCUGUUAGUGGAGUGGCAAAAGUUCUUUGGAAUAGGACAUCAUAGAGGGUGAGAAUCCCGUAUUUGGUCAUUCCUCCUAGCGUUGUGAUACACUUUCAACGAGUCGGAUUGUUUGGGAAUGCAGUCCAAAAUGGGUGGUAAAUUUCAUCUAAAGCUAAAUAUUGGCGAGAGACCGAUAGCGAACAAGUACCGUGAGGGAAAGAUGAAAAGAACUUUGAAAAGAGAGUUAAACAGUACGUGAAAUUGUCAAAAGGGAAGCGUUUGACACCAGUGUUGUUUUUCCGAAAAUCAAUUACGAAUGUUUUAGUUUUCAAGAAGUUAUGACUUCAUCGGCUUGCUUCUUUCUUUACGAAACUUUCUUAAUGCACUUUUCGGUUAACAAGUCAACAUCAAUUUCUUUUGUUGUAAAAGGGUAUGAGGAAGGUGGCUUUCUUUUCGGAGAAAGUGUUUAUAGCCUUGUGCCUCUGCAAUCGGAGAGAUUGAGGUCUGCAGCGUAGAUCCUUCGGGGUUAGAUACGUUUGUGCUAAGUUAUAGCUUUUCAUAGACAACUUGUUGACUAUGUUUAGUCUUGUAGCUUACUCGCUGACGCUAUUUUACCUACGCUUAGGAUGUUGAUCUCUCACAGUCGAGC
rnacentral:rRNA from 1 species